rnacentral:rRNA from 1 species
CACGAACCGUCCAAACGUUAUUCGGAAUCAUUGGGCUUAAAGGGUGCGUAGGCGGCGCUUUAAGUCGGGUGUGAAAUCCCUCGGCUCAACCGAGGAACUGCGCCCGAUACUGAAGUGCUAGAGGGAGACAGGGGUGAGCGGAACUGAUGGUGGAGCGGUGAAAUGCGUUGAUAUCAUCAGGAACACCGGUGGCGAAAGCGGCUCACUGGGUCUCUUCUGACGCUGAGGCACGAAAGCCAGGGUAGCGAACGGG